AUUGGAGGGCAAGUCUGGUGCCAGCAGCCGCGGUAAUUCCAGCUCCAAUAGCGAAUACUAAUUCUGCUGCAGUUAAAAAGCUCGUAGUUGAACUUGUGGCAGGACAGAUCCGGCCGUUGGGCGAAUGCCCUUUGAUGCUGUGUGUCUCGUCUGGCCAUCCUCGGCAAUUCUUUUAAAAAGGUUGUCGUCUUUCACUGUAAAAAAAUUAGGGUGUUUCAAGCAAAGUUUAUGUUGGAAUAUAUUAGUAUGGGAUGAUAAGAUAGGCUCUGGAUGCUAUUUUGUUGGUUUGCACAUUUAGAGAAUGAUUAACAGGGACAGUUGGGGGUAUUCAUAUUUACAUGUCAGAGGUGAAAUUCUUGGAUUUUGGAAAGAUGAACUACUGCGAAGGCAUUUACCAAGGAUGUUUUCAUUAAUCAAGAACGAAAGU
rnacentral:rRNA from 1 species